rnacentral:rRNA from 1 species
CGUAGGGAGCGAGCGUUGUCCGGAAUUACUGGGUGUAAAGGGAGCGUAGGCGGGAAAGCAAGUUGGAAGUGAAAUAGCAUGGGCUCAACCCAUGAGCUGCUUUCAAAAACUGUUUUUCUUGAGUGGAGUAGAGGCAGGCGGAAUUCCUAGUGUAGCGGUGAAAUGCGUAGAUAUUAGGAGGACACCAGUGGCGAAGGCGGCCUGCUGGGCUUUUAACUGACGCUGAGGCUCGAAAGACGUGGGUAGCAAACAGGAUU